rnacentral:rRNA from 1 species
UCGGGAAUUUUGGGCAAUGGGGGAAACCCUGACCCAGCAACGCCGCGUGAAGGAUGAAGUAUUUCGGUAUGUAAACUUCGAAAGAAUAGGAAGAAUAAAUGACGGUACUAUUUAUAAGGUCCGGCUAACUACGUGCCAACAGCCGCGGUAAUACGUAGGGACCAAGCGUUGUUCGGAUUUACUGGGCGUAAAGGGCGCGUAGGCGGCAUGACAAGUCACUUGUGAAAUCUCUGGGCUUAACCCAGAACGGCCAAGUGAUACUGUCGCGCUAGAGUGCAGAAGGGGCAAUCGGAAUUCUUGGUGUAGCGGUGAAAUGCGUAGAUAUCAAGAGGAACACCUGAGGUGAAGACGGGUUGCUGGGCUGACACUGACGCUGAGGCGCGAAAGCCAGGGGAGCAAACGGGAUUAGAUACCCAUGUAGUCCCUGAGCGGGCUGGCAAGGCGCAU